CUCCUCUUUUAGGAUUGGCUGCCCCUAAUAUAAUUAAAAACAAGAGAGGAAAAAAAAAAAACUUUUAUCAUGGAGGCAGAGGUUAUUGCAAGUGUUUAGCAGAUGCAGUACGGCAAAAUCUUCUUUUUAAAUAAACUCAUUAAAACAAAAUAUUGGAGCAUUUCAACCCAGCUUGCUGAGUUAAUGUACAUACCAGGACAUGUAUUCAUCCGAACCAGUUAUAUGCCUGAAAUCAGUUGCAUGCUUGUUUAACUAGCCUGAUUGGAAUAAUGCAAUAAAUUAGGCUUCUGCAUCCACCGGUUAAGUCUUUUCGAAUUGGAUGAGCAAGAAGAGCAAGAGACGAGAAAAGUCUCUUAGUAACAUAGUGGAACUGAGUACAUGGCAUUUUGUCAUGCACAGCUCAGCGGAUGAUCUGUGCCAGCAGGAGGAAUCCUACGGAGGGCGCAGUUCAGCAGCAGCGUCUUCACCUUCCCUAAGUGCACAGGAGCUAAAGAACCAUUUUACUAGAUACUUUAAGACUAUCCUUUUGAUCUCCGUCCAGCCAUAGGAUUCAGACAGGCGAUAAUUGAGCAUAACCCGGCCUUUUGUCUCCCAGCAUCUCAAUCAAGCUGCAUAGCUGAGCGACGGUGUCAACCUCCCCGCCCCAAUUCGCGAUCAGAUCGGAGAGGGAGAGGCUUCUUUCCUGCGCACAGGGGAGCCCAACCCGCGAAGCAGCUCGCACAUUCGCUUCACAUUUGAACGCAGUCCCUUUAAAGAUCUCGAUCGGGGUGGGCUAUACGGUACAUGCAUGUCCUUGCAGCAAAGGACUUUACUUCCUCCACUGCUGAAAUCAGUAUCUGUAUUGCUCUGGUGAAGGAAACCCCCUUCUUUGCAAAUGUAACCGUCACCGGGUGAAAACCCCUCCCCCCCACACACUUUCCCCCUUCUUUUGGUCUUGCAAGCGUGUGAUAAGCUCCUACAGGUCCGGAAAGGGUUAACUGCUGGUCCUCCACCUCCUUCACUCUCCUGGAGCCCCCUGAAUGCCACCGCUUUCCUCUAGAGGUCUCAUUAGGGAAACCCUAACUGCUAUUUUCAACAUUUCCUCAAUCAAGCGUCUUUAAAUAUAGCUCCACAAACAAAUUGGCGGCAAAAAGCGUAGAUCUUGUCACGAGUGAGACCAAUCCAAUAUUUCACCCUUGUUUGCUUUGUAAUUACUGGAUGGCUUGUGGCUACCUCCUUGCCCCACUGGGGCAAACUCCCCCCCGCCCGCUCUUUUUCACCCUUUAAAGUGUGGGAUGAACCAGCCUGUUGUGCUACUAAACCAGUGAUCUCAGAAAUAAAACCCCCUUCACAAAUGCAGCCUUCGGGCCAUUCACCGCAGUUCCUGGCUUGCUAGCUAGGCUUGUGAUUUUUCCAAGCCACACUCUCUGCUCCGACAGCAUUUUUGUUGCAGGUCACACACUCGCAAGCUGUGCCCUUGCAGGUAUUUGUAAGUGGUUAGUCUUUGCUUUACUGGAAUGAAUCUCUCUGUCUCUCUGUUAAACUGCUACUUUGAUUUGUUAUAUUUUCCACAGCGCUUAUUCUUGUUUGACUGUUGUACAAAGCUGCUUUAAAUCUGCUGCAGGGAGAAUAAAACUUCAAGCUGCUUGAAUGGAUUCCUAUAGACUUGUGGGCUAGCCCUGGCCCACUUUAGUUCCUGCCUAGCAAUCCCUCUGCGUAAAUCAGGCCUGGAGUAAGGUUGAUGUCUGCAGUCAGGAGCAACAAUCAACUAGCUAAUAUCAACAAAAACAGUAGUUAACUCAAAUUAUGUUCUAAGCCUUGCAUUUAACAGAGAAAAGGCAGGCUGCGCACUAUUAACAAAGCUGUUAUAUUUACUUUGCUGUGAACUGAGAGAACUUUUAUGAUAAAGGCAAAUAAUAGAACACAAAAGGGAACUAUGACCAUAAAUCUCUUUUUAUGGAUUCUCUCUCUAGCAGAAAAACACAGUAAUUCAACAAUUUUAUGAUUCAGAUAUUUUGCAGAUACAUUUGAAGUUAUUUAUAUAGGAAAGUAGGAAUAUCACACACACACACACCUUUCUUGAUUUAUAGGGGCCUGAUUCGGCUCCUACUGAAUUCAGCAACAAAACUCUCAUUGACAACCAUGGGAGCAGGGUUGAUUCCUAUCAGUAGAUAGCGCACAUAUGAUCACUGUGGGUACACAUUCUAAGAUUAGUUGCAGUGUUGUUUGUCUCAUAUAAAGCAUCUUUUUAAAAUUUACACAUUUACAUGGAAUUAUAAUUCUGGAAUAAUUCUAUAAUCUAAUCUAAAAUGGACAUACUGAAUUGUCUCUUCUCUUUUUGCCCCAGAAUCACUAAUGUUUGAGAUUGUUAAGCCACCCAAUGCAAUAAAAAGAUAUUAAGUACAUAAUGUCUUCAGAGAAUUUACAUGCUCAGAAUCAAGUCCUACUAUAAAACAACUUUAAUAUUUCAUAAAGCUGUUUCAUUUGCUACUAGCAUAGAAUGUUAGCUUCUAUUUCACUAGGGAGAUUUUGAUUAAUUCUGCUUUCUGUGCCUUAUUCUGGUUCCUGUUUACUGUCAUAAUGCAACAUCCUGCAUUCCUUGAACACCCAGGCCAACAAUUUAAGUGAACAGGAGAGCAAGGAAUGCAGGGUGGGACCUAUAGUUUGUCACCUGGUUUAAUACUGCAGACCUGGGAAAUGAUAUUUCCCCUAGAAUCCUUUUCUCAACACACUAUGUAUAUAACACCCACAGGCGCACACCCACACCUUCAGUACUAUCACUGACC